AGCGAACGCUGGCGGCGUGCUUAACACAUGCAAGUCGGGCGCGAAAGGGGCUUUCGGGUUCUGAGUAGCGCGGCGCACGGGUGCGUAAGACGCGGGUGACCUAUCCGUGAGGCGGGGAUACCCUCUCGAAAGAGGGGUUAAUACCGGAUGAGCCCACAGGCAGAGAUGCUUGGGGCAAAGGAUGCAGUUUACUAGCUGCAUGUCUUUACGGCGGGGCCCACGGCCUAUCAGCUAGUUGGUGCGGUAACGGCGCACCAAGGCGAAGACGGGUAGCUGGUCUGAGAGGAUGGCCAGCCACACGGGGACUGAGACACGGCCCCGACUCCUACGGGAGCAGCAGUGGGGAAUAUUGGGCAAUGGGCGCAAGCCUGACCCAGCGACGCCGCGU
rnacentral:rRNA from 1 species